rnacentral:tRNA from 1 species
GGAGGGCUGGCCGAGCGGUCGAUGGCGGUUGACUUGAAAUCAAUUGUGGGGAGACCCACCGCGGGUUCGAAUCCUGCGCCCUCCGCCA